AUUGAACGCUGGCGGCAGGCCUAACACAUGCAAGUCGAGCGGCAGCACAAGUAAGUUUACUUAUGAGGUGGCGAGCGGCGGACGGGUGAGUAAUGCCUAGGGAUCUGCCCGGUCGAGGGGGAUAACAGUUGGAAACGACUGCUAAUACCGCAUACGCACUACGGGGGAAAGAGGGGGACUUUCGGACCUCUCGCGAUUGGAUGAACCUAGGUGGGAUUAGCUAGUUGGUGAGGUAAUGGCUCACCAAGGCGACGAUCCCUAGCUGUUCUGAGAGGAUGAUCAGCCACACUGGGACUGAGACACGGCCCAGACUCCUACGGGAGGCAGCAGUGGGGAAUAUUGCACAAUGGGGGAAACCCUGAUGCAGCCAUGCCGCGUGUGUGAAGAAGGCCUUCGGGUUGUGAAGCACUUUCAGUAGGGAGGAAAGGGUGAGUCUUAAUACGGCUCAUCUGUGACGUUACCUACAGAAGAAGGACCGGCUAACUCCGUGCCAGCCGCCGCCGUAAGAC
rnacentral:rRNA from 1 species